CCCUGGGUAGCUCAGCGGUUGAGCGCCUGCCUUCAGCCCAGGCUGUGAUCCUGGGGUCCUGGGAUCAAGUCCCAGAUCAGGCU
rnacentral:tRNA from 1 species